CGGGCCGUGUACUCCCAGAUGGCAUCGCCGUCGAGCAGCACCUGGUCGCCGAAGUAGGCCCCGUCGGCCAACACCCCGAGAACGGCAUCAUCGCCGUACGGCCCGGUGCCGAUCUUCUCGACCUUGCCGUGCGCGAGCAGGAACACCUCCUCCGCCCGGCUUCCGAACUCCGCCAGCACAUCGCCCGGCGCGAACUCCCGCUGCUCGCACCGCUGGGCCAGCUCGCCCAGCACAUCGAUGUCCUCAUAAGCGCGCAGGGCCGGCAACUCGCCGAGCUCCGCGGGGAUGACGGCAACCUGGUCCCCGGUCUUCACAAAGGUGAUGCGGCCGUCGCCGACCGCGUAGGUGAGCCGCCGGUUCACCCGGUACGUGCCGCCCUGGAUGUUCACCCAUGGCAGCAUCCGCAGCAGCCAGCGCGAGCUGAUCUCCUGCAUCUGGGGCACGGACUUCGUGGUGGUGGCCAGGUUCCGGGCAGCGGCCGUACCGAGACUCUGCUGCGGCCGGUCCUG
rnacentral:antisense_RNA from 1 species